GACGAACGCUGGCGGCGUGCUUAACACAUGCAAGUCGAGCGGUAAGGCCCUUUCGGGGUACGACGAGCGGCGAACGGGUGAGUAACACGUGGGUGGACCUGCCCUCCAGCUCUGGGAGUAAGCCCGGGAAACCUGGGUCGUAAUACCGGAUAUGACUCCAUGACGCAUGUUGUGGGGUGGAAAGCCUUGUGCGGCUGAGGAUGGGCCCGCGGCCUAUCAGCUUGUUGGUGGGGUGAUGGCCUACCAAGGCGACGACGGGUAGCCGGCCUGAGAGGGCGACCGGCCACACUGGGACUGAGAUACGGCCCAGACUCCUACGGGAGGCAGCAGUGGGGAAUCUUGCGCAAUGGGCGAAAGCCUGACGCAGCGACGCCGCGUGAGGGAUGACGGCCUGGUGUAA
rnacentral:rRNA from 1 species